rnacentral:rRNA from 1 species
CGCGCCGCCGGAUAACCGUAGUAAUUCUAGGGCUAAUACGUGCGAAGCGCCCGAAGCCGCGAGGCGACGGGCGUUCUCGCCGGAUGUAGGAACCGACCCGGGGACCGCCGGGGCAACCCGGCGCCCCCGAGACGGGGCGAACCACGGUGAAAUGACGGAUCGUCGGCCCCGCGCCGGCGACUCGCCGAAUGAGUUUCUGACCUAUCAACUCGAGACGGCGGGGUAGAGGCCCGCCGCGGUAACGACGGGUAACGGGGAAUCAGGGUUCGAUUCCGGAGAGGGAGCCCGAGAAACGGCUACCACUUCCAAGGAAGGCAGCAGGCGCGCAACUUACCCUAAUCUCGAUUCGAGGAGGUAGUGACAAGAAAUACCGAUGCGGGACCCUACGGGGUGCCGCGUUCGGAAUGAGUACGAUUCGAACCACCUAACGAGGAACGAUCGGAGGGCAAGUCUGGUGCCAGCAGCCGCGGUAAUUCCAGCUCCAAUAGCGUACGUUAAAGUUGCUG